UUUGUAACUGAGCUAUGAUUUCAUGGUUGAGUGCCUUAUUAACUGACUACUUGUAGGGUUGAGUUAAGUGCAACACAAUGGUUGUAACACAUCAUAGAUUCUUUAAACCAUCUGUAUGAUUUUUUGGGAUUAGAGCUCUCCAUCUGGAACAUGAAUCUGACUUAGAAGAAUUAGCUGAUGUUGACUCGGGAGAGCUGGAUCCUUGGGCCCCGUCAUCAGUUUGUAUAAGUAGAUGUAGAAUUCGUAUUCCAUCUUAUGCUGCUUUCACUUCUUGCUUUAUGCAUCUAAAAGAAAAGUGAGAUGAAAUGAUCUUUAGUAAUUAGAAUUAAAUCCACUCUGUUGUCUGCCCUAUCAAGUCUCCAUUUAGAUUUAUCAGAAUCGGAGGUGAUGAAUAAUGAGAUAACUAUCUGUUUAUAUUCUUGAUGCUUGGUUGAAAACUCAAUAGCUUCUCUAGAAGGCUAGUCUUACCUGAAGGUAUUUUUUUUUUAAAACCCCUUUUAUACUCUUGACAUGGUUUUUUUCAAAUUCUUUUAUCAAUCAUCAUAAUUUUGUUGGAAAUAUUUCAUGCAGGAUUCUUCUGUCUUGAUUAUAUUAUUUAGCGAGGAAUCCCUAUACCCAGUAAUAAUAUGUCUAGCUAUUAAUAAUAUAAAUAGAUUAUGUUUCAAACAAAGAGAUGGGUUCUUCUGCACCCAUGGCUAGAAGGAAAAGAAGAAAACUUAAGUUGUAGGCCUUCAAAGUUUCUACUAUAUGAAGUUCAAUUUGUGCCUUUCACUUUGCUUUCCACCUUUUUCUUGAGUUUAAUCUGAAAUGAGCUGAAUAUUUAUGCAUAUAUUAACUGUGAAAUCUUUCUCUUUGUCGAGUGACACUGUGAUUUAUGAUGAUGCUGCAGAUUAUAGCAUUUACGGAAUACUAUGCUCUUUAAGCGUGCCAGUGGAGUCCAUGCGGCCCAUCAUCCGAGGCGUCUCUUCCUUUGAUCGGUCCAGAUAGCUGAGCCCGGCAAUUUCCGCCACUCUUUGCUUCCUAUUGUUCUUGGCAUUGUACCUGAGUCAGACUGUCGGAGAAGCUGAAAUGCCAGUGAAGUGGUUUGAAGGUCAUUGAGGAGGAAAAAAGCAGGAGUUUCAGUAGUAAUUUGUUUAUUUUUCUCCUGACUGCCAUGUUAAUUAUUACUGGAGAACUUGCAUGAUUUCAUUCGAAUAAGAAAGUAGAAAAGGCAGUGACAGGAAGCAGAAAAACUGCAACAGUAAUUUAUUCUGAUAUGAUGGGAAGCCUCACCUCAGCUAGCACCAAAAAUGUGAAACCAAUUGGAGACGAUUAUGUAUCCUCAAGAAAUGGGGAUUGGAAACAUGUAUAUUUCAGAAGAGUUUCUGAAUUACAGUUUCAGAAGUAAUAGUUUGAAAUCCAUCAGUUUUACUUCUUUAAGCUCUUGUCACCUGCUGGCUCUCCUUUUGGGGGAUCUUUAGUUAGAGCACAAUUUGAUAUCUCACUGUCCCCUUGAUCUAUUACCAGUUUGUAUCAUUCUCAUCCUUUCUCUUAUCUAUGCUUAUUCGAGUUGUGUGUAAGAUGAGGCUAGAAUUGCUCAGACAUCAUGGAAAACUUUACUAUUUGUAAUGAGCUAUCAACUCAACUUCGUUGGGCAAGAAGUGAUAACUAAAGUGUAAGGAUGUGUUGAUGGAAUAGAGAAUAGAGUUCCAAGUAAUAUACGUUGUCAGCGUAAACAUUUUCUGACCAUCAUAUCAAUAGGUAGAUGUGAUAAUCUGAUGGUGUAGAUAAGUAAAGAGCUUAGGAGUAGUUUCUUAUAUUUUCAAUGAGCAAAUUAAGGUUAAUAUGAUUAAUUUUAUUUUUAAUUAACGUCAAAAGAUGAAUUCCUUAAUAUGUGUGAAAAGUACAAAAAAAAAUCACUUAAAGUGGGCAAAAAUUGGUUCAUAUUACGAUUGGUGAAGUCCGUUUUGCUUGCGAAAAAAGAGAUUUCUAUAGAAUAAGAGAAAGGAUCAUAACUUUAUAGAUUGUCUUUGUGUUGCUUAUUUUAUUAUUGAUCAAUCUAUGUCAAGUAAACAAGAUGUUCGUCCAAUAAAACACUUAAAUGAUUGAUCAAUUCUAAGAUGUUGAUCCUCUUUUUUGGUUACAUGACUAAAGGGUUUAAUUAAGCGUAACUGUUGUCAUUAUUGUGUGGAUAUACCUUAUAAUUAAUUUGAUAAGCGGAGUCAAAAUUUAAAGUUAAUGGGUUUGAGAUUCUAUUCUUUCUAAGUC
rnacentral:lncRNA from 1 species